GCCAAGAUGCCCAAGAGGAAGGUCAGCUCCGCCGAAAGGGCAGUGAAGGAGGAGCCCAAGAGGAGAUCGGCGAGGUUGUCAGCUAAACCUGUUCCCGCAAAAGUAGAAACGAAUCCAAAAAAGGCAGCAGGAAAGGAUAAAUCUUCAGAUAAAAAAGUGCAAACAAAAGGGAAAAGAGGAACAAAAGGAAAACACGCUGAAGUGGCUAACCAGGAAACUAAAGAUUUACCUGCAGAAAAUGGAGAAACUAAAAACGAAGAGAGUCCAGUCUCCGAUGAAGCAGGAGAGAAAGAAGCCAAGUCUGAUUAAUGUUUGUCUCCCAUGUCUUAUCAGUGGUCCCUGCAUCUCCCUUCUUGUACAAUCCAGAAGAAUAUUUUUAUCAACUAUUUUGUAAAUGCAAGUUUUUUAGUAGCUCUAGAAACAUUUUUAAGAAGAAGGAAAUCCCACUUCAUCCCAUUUUUAAGUGUAAAUGUUUUUUUUUUUUAAGAGGUGAAAUCAUUUGCUGGUUGUUUAUUUUUUGGUACAACCAGAAAAUAGUGGGAUGUUGAAUUGUGGGAGGCUUUUGAUGG